CGUACACUCCUGCGGGAGGCAGCAGUGGGGAAUAUUGGACAAUGGGCGCAAGCCUGAUUCAGCCAUGCCGCGUGAGUGAUGAAGGCCCUAGGGUUGUAAAGCUCUUUCACCGGAGAAGAUAAUGACGGUAUCCGGAGAAGAAGCCCCGGCUAACUUCGUGCCAGCAGCCGCGGUAAUACGAAGGGGGCUAGCGUUGUUCGGAAUUACUGGGCGUAAAGCGCACGUAGGCGGAUCGAUCAGUCAGGGGUGAAAUCCCAGGGCUCAACCCUGGAACUGCCUUUGAUACUGUCGAUCUGGAGUAUGGAAGAGGUGAGUGGAAUUCCGAGUGUAGAGGUGAAAUUCGUAGAUAUUCGGAGGAACACCAGUGGCGAAGGCGGCUCACUGGUCCAUUACUGACGCUGAGGUGCGAAAGCGUGGGGAGCAAACAGGAUUAGAAACCCCGGUAGUCCCA
rnacentral:rRNA from 1 species